rnacentral:Y_RNA from 1 species
GGCUGGUCCAAGUGCAGUGGUGUUUACAACUAAUUGAUCACAACCAGUUACAGAUUCCUUUCUUCCUCCUCCACUCCCAUGGUUCACUUGAGUAGCCUUAA